GAUUCUUCUUCUAUUUCAUUAUUUGCAUAAAAAUACUUGCACCUCCGUGGCCUGAUUGCCUCUUGUACAUCCCGACAUGUAGCAGAUGGCACUGUGUCAUCGUUACAUGAUUGAGUCUCAUCUUCCGGUCCAGAGGAAUCUUUAAUGGUCUCAUCCUUGUUUUCCACACUGCAGGCACUGUUCCGGUCAUUCUCCUCCUCUUCUU